GUGGAAAGUGCUCCUGCAUAUACUAAAAUUGGAAGGCUACAGAGAUUAGUGUGACCCCUGUGCAAGGAUGACAUGCAAAUUCAUGAAGCAUUCCAAAUGUUU